CUUCACCUCCCAUUGUCUCUGUCUCUCUCUUUCUCCUCUGCUUCCCCUCACCCCACAACCAAAGUCAAGAGCGCAGACCCCAUGAUCACCUGAUACUUCCAAGCAAGCAGGUGUUCUUUUCAGAAGCCAGAAGCUGAUAACCUGGGCUUUCUGAUCUAACCCCAGCCCAAAUUCAUUGCAAUGGAGGAAUUGGGGAGGAGAUUCUUCCUACUGAGAAGUGGGUGCCAACUCUCCCUUUCAAAUUUGUUCAUCAACAAACUAAAGGGGAUGCCAGAAAUGUCUGGAGCAAUGGAAGAACCACUGGAAUAAUGCUCCUGCCUGAUUGUAUCUACUUAACCCACUCUCCAAGAGCCAGAAUCAGAUUUCAACCGUAUGGAAUCAUCUACAAUGCAGCAGAUGGGUUUACAAGUCUCUUGGUCUCUUCAUGAAGAAGGCGCAGCAAUCGUGUCCCAAGUCCUUGAGGACUUCACAGGGUGUUCUAGUGUCCUGAGAAUAUACCUGCCUAAGGCACUGUGGUGGGAUUCUGCCAUUCGAGAAUCUCAGACUAAGAUCAUCUGUUUCAACAAGCAUCGAUCAAGCACCCACAUUGCAGCUGGCACUCUGCUUGAUGGUGAGAUGAGUGUCAAGACCAGUUCCUUAUUUUACAGGGAAGGCCAUCAAGGUUGAAAGUGGAAAUUUCCCAAGGUCAGAGACAGAGUGGUAGAGCCAGUCCAUGCAUUCUGGUCUCCUGUCUCCUGUUCCAGUGCUCAUUCGUGACACUGCUGCUCUCCCUAACACUUCAUCCCACGAGAAUACUCUUGAGAAUAUUGUUCUUGGCUGUUCCAAAUAGAAAGAUCAUCUGUCCAUUA
rnacentral:lncRNA from 10 species